rnacentral:rRNA from 1 species
GAUCCUGGCUCAGGAUGAACGCUAGCUACAGGCUUAACACAUGCAAGUCGAGGGGCAGCACUAGGUAGCAAUACUGAGGUGGCGACCGGCGCACGGGUGCGUAACGCGUAUCCAACCUUCCCGUUACUCUUGGAUAGCCUUCCGAAAGGGAGAUUAAUACAAGAUGGUAUUCAAAUUCCGCAUGUUAUUCGAAUUAAAGAUUUAUCGGUAACGGAUGGGGAUGCGUGACAUUAGAUAGUAGGCGGGGUAACGGCCCACCUAGUCUACGAUGUCUAGGGGUUCUGAGAGGAAGGUCCCCCACACUGGAACUGAGACACGGUCCAGACUCCUACGGGAGGCAGCAGUGAGGAAUAUUGGUCAAUGGGCGCAAGCCUGAACCAGCCAAGUAGCGUGAAGGAUGACUGCCCUAUGGGUUGUAAACUUCUUUUAUACGGGAACAAACCUUGGUACGCGUACCAAAUUGCGUGUACCGUAUGAAUAAGCAUCGGCUAACUCCGUG